rnacentral:lncRNA from 1 species
UUUUUCGAGUCUUCUUUGUCCUCCGACCCCACCCUAAAGCCCGAGGGUGGUGGUACUUCGUCCCUCGGAAAGGGCUCUCUUUCAUUACUGAUCUUCCAUCGUCCAUUCACGGAUGGAAGAAUCAGUUUUUCUUUGCGUCGUCUUCUGCUUCUUGGGGGUUUCCCGUCCGUUGGGAGAAUCCCCGAACCGAGCCGAAUGAG